GAACAGUUCUAUUUAUGCAGCAAGUAAAUGAUCACAGAGCAAGCAUUAGUGCCCAUUGCCCUGAAGGACAGAGAGCUGUAUAUGGCCCUUCAGGACAGAAUUCACAGCCAUGAAGAAGAGGCAGAAGAAGUCUGUCUGAUUCUUCCCAGGUGCAGCUCGGUGCCAAGAGCUCCCAUCUUCCCUCAGCACGUGUUCCUGUCUCAUUACCCGGCAAGUCAUUUUAAUUAACACCAUCUAAUAUGGGUUGAGGUGUAUUUUGCAAAUGUCAGCACUCUUAAUUUUUUUCCCCUCUGCGGACCGAAUGUGGAAAGCUACAAGAGGACAGUGCUAAAUGAUUUCAGUUGAUUUAGCAGUGGUAAAGUAAGUCAUUAGUGAAGUGCUUUAUGAAGCCAUAAAAGUCCUUUCCAAGUCCUUUAUGGGAUUCUUGGGGAAAAUCCGUUUGUCACAGAAGAUUAUGCACUGACUGCUCCUCACCUGAAGAACCAAUGGGUAGGAGAAAGCACAGAGUCCUGCAUCUCACCCUCAGACACAAACAGCACUGCGCAUCCCCAGGCAGCUCUGCUCUACCAGGUUCUGCAGAUCUGGUGGGUAUAACUGCAGGGAAGCUGAUGCAGUGUCUGGGACUGAUACUUCUGUAGCACCACUGCCAUGUGAACUACUGAAAAAGAACCAAUGUCAAGAGCAAAGGAUAUGACGGAGGCAGCGACCGUGGACUGCCCUGUUCCCUGGGGUCUCAUUAAGCUUGGUUUUGGAGAUGAUGUACUCAGUGAUUUACUGCUUCCAAUACACUCUGGAGUAUCUAGUCUGAUACUCCUUGCAUAGAAAUGGCACAUUCAUAAACUGGAAGCUUUGUGUAAAGGCUCCUCCUCCUCAUUACAGCGGAUCAACAGACUGUGUAAAACCUUUGAAAAACAGGGUACUAUGCAGAUCAUGUCUACCAGCAUGUGCAGAGAUGUGUUCUCCAAUGCAUGCCUCUUAGACUGGUGGUGUGCUGGCCCUGAACAUGAAAUACAACAGGUGCUGUGCUCAGCAUUGUUGUCUCUCAUCACCCACAGGUGUGAAACAAUCUGUAAUAUUUAAUAUUUAUUUGGCAGACAAGAUUUAAUGCAGACUUGAUGCACAAGGCUUGUUGUUUUCCUCUCCCUUACAUUUGUACAAUUUCACUGGCUUCAGUUCAAGCUUCAUUAGGAACAGACUAUUACGCACAACAGCCAAGGAUGUAUGGCUCAUAACGAGCACUGGGGUUUGAAGGCUUCCUCCUACUCUGUACCAGUGAGCCAAGCCCGUAAAGCUGCUACAACAUCAUCUUUUUUCAUUCAUUGCCUGUGAAUAGUGGAAAGCAGCAUGUAACUGCAUGGCACUGGGCUGCCCAGCUCCCUUGCUGGCAACCCCAUCAGCAACCCUCACCCUGUGCCCUGUUAUCUCCUUAUCUCCCAACUUCAGUGGGCAUAUCGGCUGCUGGCUGAGCAAUUCCAGGCUGGAAAUGUACUUGACCUAAAUAAAGGAGUCUCAGCUCUAACCUUGAGUUGUUUC
rnacentral:lncRNA from 1 species